rnacentral:sRNA from 2 species
CUCUCAUCUGUCCUGGCGAAUAACUGGCAUCAUUGGCCUCAGACGCUGCGACCAGCGCCGGGCGCACGACACCUCGUAGCUCGCUGUUCGCUUGCUCAUUUUCAAAUUGCUAGUUAUCCUUAUUCCUUCCCUGAAAACAACUGACUUUUGUCCUGCCAAUCACUCAAUCACGUCAUCAUUGAUAUAACCUGAGAACCAUACAGGAUUCCAUCCACUACCGAGGUAUGGUACAUAGCUAACGAAUGGUUGGACCAGAAAGCAGGAAAGCAACGUCAAACCACAUUCCCUCUAUGGAAGGUUGGAGACAAAUCCAGUUUCCGGGCCU